rnacentral:rRNA from 1 species
UACGGAGGGUGCAAGCGUUAUCCGGAUUCACUGGGUUUAAAGGGUGCGUAGGCGGGCAGGUAAGUCCGUGGUGAAAUCUCUGAGCUUAACUCAGAAACUGCCAUGGAUACUAUUUGUCUUGAAUAUUGUGGAGGUAAGCGGAAUAUGUCAUGUAGCGGUGAAAUGCUUAGAUAUGACAUAGAACACCAAUGGGAAGGCAGCUUACUACACAGUUAUUGACGCUGAGGCACGAAAGCGUGGGGAUCGAACAGG